GACGAACGCUGGCGGCGUGCUUAACACAUGCAAGUCGAACGGUGAACCUCUCCGGAGGGGAUCAGUGGCGAACGGGUGAGUAACACGUGGGCAACCUGCCCCCGGCUCUGGGAUAACUCCAAGAAAUUGGGGCUAAUACCGGAUGUUCACCGCUUCCCGCAUGGGUGGUGGUGGAAAGGGUUUCCGGCUGGGGAUGGGCCCGCGGCCUAUCAGCUUGUUGGUGGGGUAGUGGCCUACCAAGGCGACGACGGGUAGCCGGCCUGAGAGGGUGACCGGCCACACUGGGACUGAGACACGGCCCAGACUCCUACGGGAGGCAGCAGUGGGGAAUAUUGCGCAAUGGGCGGAAGCCUGACGCAGCGACGCCGCGUGGGGGAUGACGGCCUUCGGGUUGUAAACCUCUUUCAGCAGGGACGAAGCGCAAGUGACGGUACCUGCAGAAGAAGCACCGGCCAACUACGUG
rnacentral:rRNA from 1 species